rnacentral:misc_RNA from 1 species
AGAAAUGAAAAAGAAAAGAAAAGAUGAUGCCAAGAACAGAGAUUACAUGAAGUCUACUAUGCAAGAGUCUUCCGAGGACACAGAUGAUGAUCAGCAUGAGGAAAGGCUAAGUAGCUAUGUAAAGAAGAAAGGUAAGUUUCUGAAAUGCAAGUCGCAUGCAACAGAUCAGGAGACUGAUGGUGAUACAAGUGACGAUUCUUCAAAGGGAGGAAGAUCUAGGCAAGAGGUGUCCGGAAAAUCAUCUAUUGGAGCUGCUUCCAGUGAAAUACAGGGAAGAAAAAGUAGGAUAAUUGGGAGAUGUACAUUGUUGGUUCGCAGGUCUGAUAAGGAGCAAGAUUCUGAAAGCGAUGGCUAUGUUCCUUAUACUGGAAAGAGAACCUUAUUGGCCUGGAUGAUCGACUCUGGGACAGCGAAGUUAAGUCAGAAGGUUCAAUAUAUGAAUCGUAGGAGGACCAGAGUAAAGCUAGAAGGUUGGAUAACACGAGAUGGCAUCCAUUGUGGUUGCUGUAGUAAAAUUCUUCCAGUUUCAAAAUUUGAGCUGCAUGCAGGAAGUACAUUGCGUCAACCGUAUCAAAACAUAAUCUUGGAGUCUGGUGUUUCUUUGCUGGAGUGCUUGGUAGAUGCAUGGAAUCGGCAAGGAGAAUCUGAUCGGGAAGAUUUCCACACUGUGAAUGCAGACAGUGAUGACCCUGAUGAUGAUACUUGUGGUAGAUGUGGUGAUGGUGGGGACCUUAUCUGUUGUGAUGGUUGCCCUUCGACUUUUCAUCAAAGCUGUCUGGGUGUACAAAUGCUUCCUCCAGGUGAUUGGCUCUGUCCAAAUUGCACAUGCAAAUUUUGUAACACCGGCAGUACUGUCACAGAGGAAGGUGGGGGAGCUGUAGAUGAGCUUCUCUGGUGCAGCCUCUGUGAGAAAAAAUAUCAUAAAUCAUGCAGUCUUGAUAUGAAUGCUAUAUCCUCUAGUUCUAAUAAUCCAUCUGUAUCGUUUUGCGGGCAGAAAUGCCAAGAGCUGUAUGAUCAUCUGCAGAAGAUUCUUGGUGUCAAACAUGAGAUUGAAGCUGGAUUCUCAUGGUCCCUAAUUCAACGAACGGAUUUAGACUCUGAUCAUUCUCAUCAUGCCUUUUCUCAACGGGUGGAGUGCAAUUCUAAACUAGCUGUUGCACUGACUGUUAUGGAUGAAUGUUUUUU